GAUCAGUGCGUAUCAUAUGGUACAUUUAAAUACAAUUAUGUCUUUUGUGAGAAUACGACAGACAUAUAUAAUGAGUAUCAUAUGGUACAUUUAAAUACCAUAGAGACAAGCAUAAUUAUAAUCUUAGAGGAAUCAAUGAUGUCAAAAAAAAAAAAAAAAACUUAGAAGAACCAAUUAUUUAUUAGUAUUCAAGAAACCCACAUGGCAACCAUGCAAGCGUUUAAUUCGUAAUUAUGACUCACCAGAUAAUAUCUCCUCCAAAGGCCAUUUUAAAAAUUAUUGAUUGUUAGGUACAAUUUUUUAGAUUACGAGCACCUACUUUUAUUCAUUUUCAAAAAAAAUAUAUCCAAAAAAUAAAGUUAACAUAUUUAUCAAUAAUUUGCUUCAUCUUUAAUAAAAG
rnacentral:lncRNA from 1 species